UUCCUGGGUUCCGUGGUUCUAGCACGGUCGCUCAACUGUUGCAUUUUGCUUUUAUUUAAUUUUAUUACAUGAAGAGCCUAUCUACCAAUUUUAUUCUUAACCGCUUUUAUUUAAUAUAAUAAUUAUUUAAGAGAAAGUGAAUGUCGUUUAAAGUGUGUUUUCGGAUUGCGCCGCAUCAAAAGAACCUGCAAUCCUAAGCACACUCUAUUCAAUAAUUUAGGAUAUGGAUUUGGGCAGCAUAAAAUGCCCACCCGUAUUUAGGAAUGUAAUUUUACUAAAGUCGCGCUUAAUAGAGUCUAACACAUUGUAAUUUUUUGG
rnacentral:lncRNA from 1 species